rnacentral:rRNA from 1 species
AUACGGAGGGUCCAAGCGUUAAUCGGAAUUACUGGGCGUAAAGCGCACGUAGGCGGAUCGUUAAGUUGGGGGUGAAAUCCCGAGGCUCAACCUCGGAACUGCCUUCAAUACUGGCGAUCUUGAGACCGAGAGAGGUGAGUGGAACUCCGAGUGUAGAGGUGAAAUUCGUAGAUAUUCGGAAGAACACCAGUGGCGAAGGCGGCUCACUGGCUCGGUACUGACGCUGAGGUGCGAAAGCGUGGGGAGCAAACAGGAUUAGAUACCCCGGUAGUCC